rnacentral:lncRNA from 12 species
GGACAGCAAAGCCACUCUGGCCCCUGCAGUGGCCACAGCCUUCACACACGUGGUUUUCCCAGCAAAAUCCGGUAUUUGGGAUAUAUUGGGAUAUACUGCAGGUGGAUGGGGGGAUCCCUGUGGGAUCCAUAUCCCACCCAGGCACCCAGAGUUUAAACCCCAACAGACGCCAGGAUUUCCAGGAAAACCCUUUAUAAACCAUUCAAUCACCUGCAUGAAGUGUAGGAAUUGCCCUCCAGGGGCUGCUUCUCCCAAGGGCUUGAGGCACAAGGCAGAGCUGUGGCCAAGGGAAGUCUCUGCCUCCUCUCUGCACACCUCAACACGCAAAAAAAAACCCUCCACGAGGGUUAGCAGUGCAAAAAAACCUCACCAGGCACACGCACACCCGUGGCAGCCUCCAAACAGUGAAUUAAACGAGGAUGAAAGGCAAAUGCCAGCUCUGGCAAAACCCUAGGAAAGGAGCCAUCAGCUCUCGGCAGCGUCCCGGGAUUUUCAAGCCACGCCAAUGGAAUUUGGCGGAGGGGGGCGAGGGCUCCGGGUCUAUUUCUGCUCUGAUGUGUCCUGGCGCCGCCCGAGCCUUUCCUGGUGCCGAGCGGUGCUGGAGAGCGGCGGCUGCAGGGGGCAGAGCGGGGAAGGCUCCUGCGCCCAGCUGGGUUUGUUUUCCCGGCGUCCCAAAGUGCCUGGACCCGGGGUUGGUUCUGUUUGGGGUCCCGCUGCAGCUGUGCUGGGCUGCUGUGGGUGCUGCGUGGAGGGAUUGGGGUGUUGGGGAGUGUGGGCAGCACACCAGGGACUGACAUCCUGACAUCUGAGGGUCCUGAGCCCUGAGCAUCCUGAUCCCUGAGCAUCUUGAUUCUUGGACAUCCCAAUCUCUGAGCAUCCUGAUCCCUGAGCAUCCUGAUCUCUGAGCAUCCUGUGCCCUGACUAUCCUGACCCCUGAACAUCUUGAUUCUUGGACAUCCCAAUCCCAGAGCAUCCUGACCCCUGAAUAUCCUGAUCCUUGAGCAUCCUGAUCUUUGAGGCUCCUGAUCCCUGAUCAUCCUGAUCUUCGAACUUCCUGAUCCCUGAGCACCUUGAUCCCUGACUAUCCUGAUCCCUGAGCGUCCUGAUCCCUGAGCAUCCUGAUCUCUGAGCAUCUUGAUCCCUGAGCAUCCUGAUCUCUGGGCAUCUUGAUCCCUGAGCAUCCUGAUACCUGAACACCUUGAUCUCUGAGCAUCCUGAUCCCUGAGCAUCUUCAUCCCUGAGCAUCCUGACCCCUGAACAUCUUGAUUCUUGGACAUCCCAAUCCCAGAGCAUCCUGACCCCUGAAUAUCCUGAUCCCUGAGCACCUUGAUCCCUGACUAUCCUGAUCCCUGAGCGUCCUGAUCCCUGAGCAUCCUGAUCUCUGAGCAUCUUGAUCCCUGAGCAUCCUGAUCUCUGGGCAUCUUGAUCCCUGAGCAUCCUGAUACCUGAACACCUUGAUCUCUGAGCAUCCUGAUCCCUGAGCAUCUUCAUCCCUGAGCAUCCUGACCCCUGAACAUCUUGAUUCUUGGACAUCCCAAUCCCAGAGCAUCCUGACCCCUGAAUAUCCUGAUCCCUGAGCACCUUGAUCCCUGACUAUCCUGAUCCCUGAGCACCUUGAUCCCUGACUAUCCUGAUCCCUGACUAUCCUGAUCCCUGACAUCCUGAUCCUUGAAUAUCCUGAUCUUUGAACAUCCUGAUCCCUGAGCAUCCUGAUCCUUGAGCGUCCUGACAUCUGAAGGUCCUGAUCCCUGAGCACCUUAAUCUCUGAGCACCCUAAACCCUGAGCAUCCCCAACCCUGAACAUUGCAGCCUCUGAAUAUCCUCACCCCUGAGCAUCCCAGUUCCUGAGCAUUCCAACAUCCAAGGAUCCUGAUCUCUGAACAUCCCAGCCUUUGGGAAUCCUGGUCCCUGAGCAUUCUGAUCCCUGAGCAUCCUGGUCUCCAAUAAUCCAAUCCCCUGAGCAUCCUGAUCUCUAAGCAUCCUGAGCCCCGAGCACCUCGGCUCUGAGCAUCCUUCUCUCCAAGAAUCCUGACCCCUGAUCACCCUGACCCUCAAUCGUCCUGCCUCAGAUCACCCCAGCCUCAGAUCAUCCUACCUCAGAUCAUCUCAGUCUCAGAUCAUCCCAAACUCAGAUCAUCCUAAACUCACAUCAUCCCACCCCCCCCCCCCCCCCCCCCCCCCCCCCCCCCCCCCCCCCCCCCCCCCCCCCCCCCCCCCCCCCCCCCCCCCCCCCCCCCCCCCCCC